GAUCUUCAAAAAGCGAUGCCAUGUCGACAAUGGCGAGAAAGGUGAGAGGCAAGAAAGGCGUCGCCUUUUGUGUUUUCUUUAAAAAGGUGACCAAUUUAUGAUUUUAAAAGUUAAAAGGUAAUUUUAGGGUUUUCGACUAGACUCUUCGGGCGACCAACCAGACUUUUCCAGCGAUUCCAAAGUCCAACCAAUACAUAUUUCUUCUCCUUCAAAUCUCCUCCUCCUCCUCAUGGAUGAACUAAAAAGGAUGGAUUGCUCUUCUAAAGUAACUUGGAGAAUCUUAUCUUCCCUUCUUCUUCAAACCUGUCCAAUAACUCCUAACAGUUCAUCACUUUUUCUUCGGUUUUUUGAAUCUUGUUGACAUGGAUAUGUGAUUCUAUUUUGCUAGUUGCAUCGGUAGGUGCUUUCAACAUCGAAACUCAUCAAAUGAUCCCCUAAAAUUGCAGCAACAUCAGUUGAUGGCAAACCCUUGCCCAGGCAUUACUGAUUUGACACUUCUAGGAAAAAAAAUAGGAGUUGCAGGGCUCUAUUUGUUGUGCAUAGGAAGAGAAGUGACCCUCUUUUCCUCUUCAUCUACUAUAUCUGCCCAUCUCAAAGCACGUGUCACAUCUUGUUGUUUCUUAUUAGAAAUAACCAUUUCAUUUUUAACUAGCGUUCGACCAUAGAUUUCCAAAUAUUUUUAGCAAAUAUUAUUUGGGUGAAAUUUCAAUGUGUUUGGCCAUAGUAUUUGGGAAACAUAUUUCAAUUUUUAAAGAAAUAUGAUCUAUACCCAUAAAUUUUAAAAACAAUCAAAACCAACCAUAUGUUUGUAUUACACAGCAAGAUAGAAACGUCGAUGUAAUAAGGUUCAUGACUUCCGCAACAAGUCAAUUGGAUCUUCGUUGCAGCAAAUAACAAAUAGUGUCCAUGACACUGGAGUAAUGUGGUAGUUAUGAGUGAGUGCAACAAGCAUUAUUCCAUACAUGGUGAAGUAAACGAAACACAUGACUUUGUUACUCUGAGGCGAUUGUUCGUCAUUUUCAUCAACACAUCAUCACUUUCAUAUUCACUAAUAUGUCAUCGUCACUUUGGUGUUCACAAAAAAAAAUUAUGCAAUACAUCGCAAACAACUACCAUAGCGGGUGUUUUUGUAAAAAAUAAAAGUUUGGUGUAUAAUUUGAAAUUUUAAAGCUCCCAAAUAGUGAGAUUUGACUCAAAUACUAGUUUUUUCUAGUAUUUGGAAAUUUGGGGUUAUUUACCAAAAAGUUUGCCAAAUAGUGGCAAAUUGUAUGGACAAACACUUUGUCAAUUUUCUUCCCAAAUUUUACUUGGGAAAUCUAUGGCCAAACGGGUUAGAGUUAGUUGGAGAAAUUGAGAUCUUACCUUUCUCAACAUUUUGGUCAUUCCUUGUAGACAUUGGCUGCUGCCUCGAAUACCCAUGAUGCUCACCCAACAAUUCCAAUGAUUAGGAAGGAAUCUCUUGUACUGAGGCAUUUAAAUUUACAAGUGGUAGAUUGUUCACUGAUUAACCAUAGUAGCAAACUGACUUUCGUUUAAAGUGUUAAUUACUUCUUGAGACACGGAACCUCCUUUGGAACAAUUGCUCGAGCACUUGAGUUCAUAGUUUGACUGCCUACAAUUUGGUGCAUUGUGUUACGAAUUGGUGAACCAAUUCUAACACCCGAAGAGUCUUUCUUUGUCACCACAGUUCAAUUUGAAUGAUGUACUAAUUUCCCUUCAGUCACAUUGUUAGAUUGAUGCACUUGUUGCCCAUAAUUUUUGAUAAAUAGUGCCGCAAUUAAAGCUUGAUUAAUUAUGUAGCAUCAGUCAAACUAGUGUGCUCUUCGCCUACACUUUCACCCGGCUUAGCAGCAACCGUAGCCAAUUGAUCCCUUUGACCAUCACCUAUUUAUUGAACCUGUGCAUUCCCAGAUUUUGAUACACAAUUUGCAUCUUCAGUAAGCUCGUGUUUUGCACAUCCCCAACACAUGUAGGAUCAACAACAUUUAAAUUAGAAUUGCUGCACAAUUUUUUCACUCACUUGGACCACCAAUCACGCUCAUCAUCAUCCCAUUAACAACUCUGUUUCCAACAUUUAUUUGUGGCAAAAAAUUCCUUUGUUGGUUAGGACUAGAAACGUUAUUUUCGCCAACAAACUUUUCAGCUUGUGAAUGACAUGUAGCUUCAAGUUUUUCAUUACCAGCCCUGGUAGCUUUAGCUACUGGUAUUAACACAAAGCUAAAGUUACAACACAAUCAGAUUGUGAGACAUCCCUAAUCACACCAUCUAGUUGUUGUUGAGGAUAUUUUUGCACCAAAUUAUUAGCUUGAUGAUCAUUAUUACCAACUUGUAUGAUUUCAUUACCACCAACUCACUUUGCAUCUAAUAUCUCCCUCGCAUCACCUUGAUAUUUUUCAAUAUAAGUUCCAUAUGUCAAUGCUUUUUCUGGAGUUUUUGUUGCAUUCUUUAUCAAUAGCAAUCUACAUCCGCUUUCGUCAUGGCCUUGGUGCUUACAGAAGGUACAAUAACAUGGCAAUUAUCAUACACAAACUUUUGAAAGUGAUUCAUAAUUUUUCCAAAUUUCUCAUCGACAUAUUGAAGUUUCAUUCGUUGUGGAAGCUUAGCCAAUAAAUCCAUUCUGACUUUAACCCUUGUUGUGCUAGGCCUCGACUUCUCUUGGGUGGCUUUAUCAAUAGCAAUUGGCUUACCCACUGUCGACAUAAUGGACAGUAACAACUGUUUUGCAAUUAAGUCUAGCGGUAAAUUCGAAAAGAUAUUCAAACAAAAGCUUUUGAGGUUUCUUAUCUAGGAUUGAGACCAACUCUCCAUGGAAAGACUCCGAAUUGGUGUUGUGUACCAUUGUGUAACAAGUAGUUGACAGAUUUAGCCGCACCUAAAACGUAAUCAUCAUACCUAUCACAUCUAAGCAAUAUAUGUCGAAGUGUGAGCCAUCUGACAAGGCAACGACCUUGACUUCUUAGUUUUGUAGGCAAUAGCUUUCUCAAUUCUUGUAUAUCAAUUUGUUCAUGUGAAAACUUUAUUAGAAGAGCUUGGUGUAAGCCUUCCUCCACUGCAUAUCACUUUAUCUCCUCUAUCAUGAAUUAACGGUAGGUUCCCAUGUUUGUUGUUUUGGGUUCGGUAGUGCUGCAUAAGAAUCUUGAGAAUUAGAAUUAGGGUUCGGCUCUCCCACAGCCAAGGGUUGGGGAGAGGACAAAGAAGCCAUGGAAGGCUUUACUUCACCAUUCAUACAGAGAAGGGAGCAACUAUUUAGGUUUCUUGAUUCGAUUCGUGUUGUGAAUAUUUUAAUGACUUGAAGUGAAUCCUAAGUGUAUAAGAUGGAAUUUUGCUCUCUUUGUGGACUUGAAAAAUGAUUGAUAAAGAAGUUUGAGCUAAUACUAUAAUAGAUCUUAUAAUAAAUUUUAGUGAAAAAACGCAAAAAAACGAUAAGAGUAUAGUAAGAAUAUUAGAGACAAUAGAAAUAACUCAAAAUAAACAUAAAAAGAUAUUAGAAAGGGUAGAACAAAAUCUUGAUUUCUUAAAAUCACAAGAAUUAGAACUAGAUAGAAAAAUCCAAUAUUUAAACAAUAAGUUUAAUAUAGAACAAAUACCUAUCAAAGUAGAAAUAGGAAGGUUAAUAAAAACCAUAACAGAAAAGCCUAAAGCAUUAGAACUAAGAACAACUAAAUUAGUUGAAAAAAUUAUAACGCAAGUAGAAAUAGUAACCACUGAAGUUAUUGAGUUAAAAAAGACAAUAAAACAACUAGAAGAUAAACUCCUUUCAUGAACGAUCUAUGCCAAGAACCAUCCUAUACAAAAGCCUUAAAUUUUACAGGAAGUAUCCAACCAGAUCCGCAAGGAUUGUCUGACCACCAACCUUCAAGUAAAUCAGAUCAAAUAAUUAUUAAACAAAAUAACACUAAUAGUAUUACUGAUAGAAUUAAAUAAAAAAUUAGAUAAAAUAAUUAAAGAAAAAGAAGUUAUAAAAGAACAACCUAAAAAUACUGACAUAG
rnacentral:lncRNA from 1 species